UACGUAGGGGGCAAGCGUUGUCCGGAUUUAUUGGGCGUAAAGAGCGUGUAGGCGGCCUUACAGGUCAGCUGUGAAAACUCGAGGCUCAACCUCGAGACGUCGGUUGAAACCGUAAGGCUAGAGUCCGGAAGAGGAGAGUGGAAUUCCCGGUGUAGCGGUGAAAUGCACAGAUAUCGGGAAGAACACCCGUGGCGAAGGCGGCUCUCUGGGACGGUACUGACGCUGAGACGCGAAAGCGUGGGGAGCGAACAGG
rnacentral:rRNA from 1 species